CAUCUUCGGAUGUGUAUAAAGUGGCAAACGGCUGAGUAACACGUGGGCAACCUGCCCUUUGCACUGGGAUAGCCUCGGGAAACCGAGGUUAAUACCGGAUACUCCAUAUUUGUCGCAUGGCGAAUAUGGGAAAGCUCCGGCGGCAAAGGAUGGGCCCGCGGCCUGUUAGCUAGUUGGUGGGGUAGUGGCCUACCAAGGCGAUGAUGGGUAGCCGGGUUGAGAGACCGACCGGCCAGAUUGGGACUGAGACACGGCCCAGACUCCUACGGGAGGCAGCAGUGGGGAAUCUUGCACAAUGGGCGAAAGCCUGAUGCAGCGACGCCGCGUGCGGGAUGAAGGCCUUCGGGUUGUAAACCGCUUUCAGCAGGGACGAGGCCGCAAGGUGACGGUACCUGCAGAAGAAGCCCCGGCUAACUACGUGCCAGCAGCCGCGGUAAUACGUAGGGGGCAAGCGUUAUCCGGAUUCAUUGGGCGUAAAGCGCGCGUAGGCGGUCUGUUAGGUCAGGAGUUAAAUCUGGGGGCUCAACCCCAAUCCGCUCCUGAUACCGGCAGGCUUGAGUCUGGUAGGGGAAGAUGGAAUUCCAAGUGUAGCGGUGAAAUGCGCAGAUAUUUGGAAGAACACCGGUGGCGAAGGCGGUCUUCUGGGCCAUGACUGACGCUGAGGCGCGAAAGCUAGGGGAGCGAACAGGAUUAGAUACCCUGGUAGUCCUAGCUGUAAACGAUGGACACUAGGUGUGGGGAGAUUAUACUUUCCGUGCCGCAGCUAACGCAUUAAGUGUCCCGCCUGGGGAGUACGGUCGCAAGACUAAAACUCAAAGGAAU
rnacentral:rRNA from 1 species